rnacentral:lncRNA from 1 species
CAGUAAAAAGUUUUCUCUAUGGAAUAUAUCAUUUCAUCUCCAACAUAAAACACUCAAGAAGAGACUGAGGCAGAGCAAGGAUUCUAGACUCUAUUGACUUUAACCAAAGAAGUAGAGAUACCUGAAAGUUUCCAACAGAUUGAAACUGGGAAGCACUAGACCAGAAAUCUAGUAGAUUCUGUGGGUCAAGAAUUCAGUCAAGGCACACUUCAAGGGACUGGACACCGAAGUGUUUCAAUCAGACUAUAAGAAGGCUGAGCUGAAGACUAGAAUUAGCUGAAGGCUGGCUCACUCACUUUUCUGGCAAUUGAUGUUUGCUGUUGUCCAAGGUCCACCUGGGGCCUCUCCAGUAGCCUGAACUUUACAGUAAGUGGUUGAGUUCCCAGAGUAAGAAAGAGGGUCAAACAGAUGCCAUGUCC